rnacentral:tmRNA from 1 species
GGGGAUGUAAAGGUUUCGACAGGGGUGCGUGUGGUAUAGAUAGCGAGUCGGCGUUCCAUGAGGCCGUUAAACGGCUACGUCCCUCAUACUUGUGCCUACCAAGUGUGAAUGGACGUCAAACAGUAGGCUGGUCUAAUUUAGUUGUUCAUAUGAAUUAGGCGAGACAAUAUGAACUGGGGUUGUGUAGCUUGUCUGUGAGCGAUAGCAACCCGAGAUCUCAAUCAUAGACUGUGCUCGGAGAAGUCUAUAUGGCAACACUCUUGGACAGGGGUUCGACUCCCCUCAUCUCCACCA